rnacentral:rRNA from 1 species
UACAGAGGGGGCAAGCGUUGUUCGGAAUUACUGGGCGUAAAGGGCGCGUAGGCGGCCUUCUAAGUCGAACGUGAAAUCCCCGGGCUCAACCCGGGAACUGCGUCCGAGACUGGAAGGCUCGAAUCCGGGAGAGGGAUGUGGAAUUCCAGGUGUAGCGGUGAAAUGCGUAGAUAUCUGGAGGAACAUCGGUGGCGAAGGCGGCAUCCUGGACCGGUAUUGACGCUG